UGAGAACACCAAUGUGGUUGGACCAAGG
rnacentral:piRNA from 1 species